rnacentral:tRNA from 1 species
GGUCCAAUAGUGUAGAGGUUAUCACACAGGAUUCUGAAAAAGAAGAGAUUUCCUGUGACCCAGGUUCGAGUCCUGGUUGGACCU